GAUGAACGCUGGCGGCGUGCCUAAUACAUGCAAGUCGAGCGAACAGACGAGGAGCUUGCUCCUCUGACGUUAGCGGCGGACGGGUGAGUAACACGUGGAUAACCUACCUAUAAGACUGGGAAAACUUCGGGAAACCGGAGCUAAUACCGGAUAACAUGUUGAACCGCAUGGUUCAACAGUGAAAGACGGUCUUGCUGUCACUUAUAGAUGGAUCCGCGCCGCAUUAGCUAGUUGGUAAGGUAACGGCUUACCAAGGCAACGAUGCGUAGCCGACCUGAGAGGGUGAUCGGCCACACUGGAACUGAGACACGGUCCAGACUCCUACGGGAGGCAGCAGUAGGGAAUCUUCCGCAAUGGGCGAAAGCCUGACGGAGCAACGCCGCGUGAGUGAAGAAGGUCUUCGGAUCGUAAAACUCUGUUAUUAGGGAAGAACAAAUGUGUAAGUAACUAUGCACGUCUUGACGGUACCUAAUCAGAAAGCCACGGCUAACUACGUG
rnacentral:rRNA from 1 species